ACGUGGCGACCGGCGCACGGGUGAGUAACACGUAUCCAACCUGCCGAUAACUCCGGAAUAGCCUUUCGAAAGAAAGAUUAAUACCGGAUAGUAUACGAAUAUCGCAUGAUAUUUUUAUUAAAGAAUUUCGGUUAUCGAUGGGGAUGCGUUCCAUUAGUUUGUUGGCGGGGUAACGGCCCACCAAGACUACGAUGGAUAGGGGUUCUGAGAGGAAGGUCCCCCACAUUGGAACUGAGACACGGUCCAA
rnacentral:rRNA from 1 species